GUGUAAAAGUUGGCGGGGAAGCCGAGUCGGCGGGCGAGCACCCGCUGUAGCCGCCCCGCCCCGCCCCGCCCCGAGGAUGGCGUUUGGAGCAGCCUGGGCUCCACAGCGCGAGACAGGCCAGCCGGGGUUCUAGACAUACGUGGUCCCGGUGCAAAAAAUUAAAAGAUAACCGAACUGACGCACAGACUGACAAAAUAAUCUGAAACUGACUCUAGACGUGCGGGCAAAAUCUCACUGUUUUCAACCUGAAGAUGACUCCUUAGCUGGAAUCUGAAAUGAAAAAAAAGCAGGCUGAGCAAGCCAUGAAGAGCAAGCCAGUAAGCAGCACCCGUCCGUGGCCACUGCAUCGCUCCUGCCUCCAGCCCUGCUUGAGUUCCUGCCGCCAGCCCUGCUUGAGUUCCUGCCCUAACUUCCUUCAGUGGUGAACAGUGAUGUGGAAAUACAAGCCACACAAACCCUUUUCUCCCCAGGUUUCUUUGGUCAUGGUGUUUCAUCAUAGCCAUAGUCUCCCUGACUAAGACAACCAGCCUAUUCCCAACCUCUCUUAUUUGUUUCCUGGAUCUUUCUUAGAGUUUAGUUUUAAAAUUUCACUUUGGGGAUUUUUGCCAUGUCUUAGAUUGUUCCCCAAGAUCAUAUUCAAAAGUUCCUUUCGAAUAAAACCCAAUUUAUCUUUGCCACCACAGUUAAAACUCCCUAGUGCCUUUGCACAUAGUAGUUUGUAAGCCAGAUCAUCUUUGGGGAUAAAAGUGCAGUCUGGCCGGGCGUUGAUGGCACAUGCCUUUAAUCCCAGCAUUCGGGAGGCAGAGGUAGGUGGAUCUCUGUGAGUUCGAGACCAGCCUGGUCUCCAGAGCGAGUGCCAGGAUAGGCUCCAAAGCUACACAGAGAAACCCUGUCUCGAAAAAACCAAAAAAAAAAGAGUGCAGUCUGGGGAAGGGGCUGGUCCUACACUUUCCUUGUUCCACUGGUUCUCAGGAUAAUAAUUCUGUUACUAUUUAUCUUAGAAAACAGAACUAAAAAAAAUACAGGAUUUUUAAAGUUUGAGUGCAAACUAUUAAUUAGCAGAUGACUGUCAAAUUACCACUGUUUAGCCAAGCCUUGUGCCAUAUUUUAUAAUAAGCAAUUAAAAAUCAUUUUCUCAUACAAGGAA